GCACCCGUAGUGAAAUGGAUAUCAUACCCGCCUUCGAAGCGGUCGUUGCAAGUUCGACUCUUGCCGGGUGCA
rfam:Parcubacteria (Nomurabacteria) bacterium GW2011_GWC2_35_8 TR91_C0005, whole genome shotgun sequence.